AUACGUAGGUGACAAGCGUUAUCCGGAUUUACUGGGCGUAAAGGGCGUGUAGGCGGUCUUGCAAGUCAGAAGUGAAAUUCCUGAGCUCAACUCGGGCGCUGCUUCUGAAACUGCAGGACUUGAGUGCUGGAGGGGAUAGCGGAAUUCCUAGUGGAGCGGUAAAAUGCGCAGAUAUUAGGAAGAACACCGGUGGCGAAGGCGGCUAUCUGGACGGUAACUGACGCUGAGGCGCGAAAGCGUGGGGAGCAAACAGGAUUAGAUACCCUGGUAGUCCACACUGUAAACGAUGAGUGCUAGGUGUAGAAGGUAUCGACCCCUUCUGUGCCGGAGUAAACGCAAUAAGCACUCCGCCUGGGGAGUACGGUCGCAAGAUUAAAACUCAAAUGAAUUGACGGGG
rnacentral:rRNA from 1 species